CCAGUGUUUUCCGCCUCCAAGAUGGGGUCAUGGUUGUUUUAAGUUCCGGUUGAUCGGCAACCCAGCUGCAUUUGUGUUAAACUCCUACCGUGAACCGGCACAAACGUCCCGAAUUAAAUCAAUGGAUCGACGCUCAAAAAGCGACCUUUAAUCGGAUUCAACGCGGAGGAGCUAAGCGCCAUGUUGGAAACCCGGCGAGCCAUCGACUCUUCACAUUACAUCUAAACGAAGUUACGUCAAGUACAUGGAGAGUGGACACGAAAACCAUGAGCAGAGCUUCCACAGUUUCAUCAUCUGGUCUACACCUACGAAAUACCUCCCAGAAAACAGACAGAAAAUCCACAUGGGACCAUUUGUUUAAGGUCAGGAGUGGACUGGCAUUCCAGGCAUUGUCCCGGUGGGACGUCCACCCGGAGUGGGCUGGUCCGGCCUGCUAA
rnacentral:lncRNA from 1 species